GUAUUAUUCAGUCACAUUUGAAAAGUUUCAUACCAAAUAUGUUCACGUAAUAUCUAAGAUAUACGACAGAGUUUAAGUUGUGUGGGUCGAUGAAAGGAAAACCGGAAAGAAUAUAAAUCGUUUGAUUGAGGACACAUAUAAGCAGAUUUGAAGAAUUUCUUCAUGCUUUCUCCAACGAACGUUGACUGUAACGACUAAAAGAUCGUUAAAGUACAUGCCAUAUAUGUAAUGUUGCAGUCACGUAGGUCAGGAUCAUAAGAUUGUAAUUUAUUGUUUUUGUGUAUAAAAGAAAUUGUUCAAAGUUCAAAUUACAUUUGAAAGAGGCGCGCACCAUUGUGGAAAGUAUUAAAUUGAACCACGCCUUCCUAUUUAUCUCUGUAAAAAGAAAUAAGAAGAUAACAAAAAAUUGUCCUUUUCUCUUAGAGAGAAGAAAUAUUAUUGCGGUAAACAUCAUUCGAAUGACACACGGAAGGCCAAGAAAAUUCUUGCACUUUCACCGUGUUAAUGGAAGAUGCGCCAAGGAAAAAAGACAGAGAGGAAUAUAGGAACUCUCUUGCUCGUUUAUUAAACGAUGCUACACAACACUGACAUGUAUACGCGUAUAUCUCGAAUCAAAAUUAAUUGACGGAAGUACGAUGUAUUUCGCAUACGUUUAGCACCUUUUUAGCAUCCGCUUGAGCAAGAAACUUUGUUGGGGACACUAUAACCAUGCAUCCGUUCGUGAUUAAAAAAAAAAUAGAAAAAGAGAUAAUAGUCAAGUUCUCUUCCAAUCAUAUUAAUUAAUAGAACACAAUAUCUCCUAGACUAGAAAAAGAAGAAGAAGAAGAAGAGCGUAAGUUCAAAGAGACAAGGAGAGGUCGACGUUGAUUUUCAACUCGGCUAUCCCUAUUGGUAGAGAUUUCAUCGCGGGAAGACACUUCGGAAACCUCUGACCUUACUGCCAGCUUUCUCCCAUAGGAUUCGAUUAGAGUCGCUAUGAUAUUCUUCUAAUAAUCAGUUAAAGGAUUCUCGAAAAAAUACCAGACUAACAACUGAAAACUGCUAUUCGUGAUCACCGAAGAGACCUUCCUUUCUCCAUAAAGGCGAUUCUCGUUUGCAAAUACCGCGACACGAAGACCUAAAAGAAUCUUCAUCGAAAUCCUUACACCCACACAUUAAUCGUACUAUGUCAGUGCUUAUGUUGGUGUAAGUCAGAGGAUACCUAUGGAUACUUGUAAAUAGACGUAGACGGUUGUAAGUGCAAAUAUCGUGCCAUCUACGAUGGGGGACCUGCUUCAAAGACAACUUUCGCCCUCCAAGGCUGAGAAGAUUCCUCGAGUCGAGCUCAUCCCAAGUAUAAUAGACGUCUCGACGGUCAUUGAAAAAUAUAAUACUCUUACUCGUUAAUUAACCGUUAUGAGUAACAUGUAACCAUUGCGCAAUAUCUCUUUCUAUCUCUAAUGGUGUUAAUGGAUAAUAAGGGAAUGACAAAAAAAUAUAAAUUGAUAAGCUCGACGACAAAUGUAUCAUCUUGUUUUCUAAAGAGAACAACUAUCGAACAAGGUUUUUCAAAUACCAAAAA
rnacentral:lncRNA from 1 species